rnacentral:rRNA from 1 species
UACGGGGGGGGCAAGCGUUGUUCGGAAUUACUGGGCGUAAAGGGCGCGUAGGCGGCCGCUUGCGUCGGAUGUGAAAGCCCGGGGCUCAACCCCGGAACGGCAUCCGAUACGGGGCGGCUCGAGACCGAGAGAGGUGAGUGGAAUACCCAGUGUAGAGGUGAAAUUCGUAGAUAUUGGGUGGAACACCGGUGGCGAAAGCGGCUCACUGGCUCGGUUCUGACGCUGAGGCGCGAAAGCGUGGGGAGCAAACAGG